AUACGGAGGAUGCAAGCGUUAUCCGGAUUUAUUGGGUUUAAAGGGUGCGUAGGCGGUUUGCUAAGCGGGAGGUGAAAUGCCGGCGCUCAACGUCGGAAGUGCCUCCCGAACUGGUGGACUUGAAUGACUCUGCCGUGGGAGGAAUGUGUAGUAUAGCGGUGCAAUGCUUAGAGAUUACACAGAACACCGAUUGCGAAGGCAUCUCACGAAGGGUUGAUUGACGCUGAGGCACGAAAGCGUGGGGAUCAAACAGGAUUAGAUACCCUGGUAGUCCACGCAGUAAACGAUGAUGGCUAACCGCUGGGCUUAUCAGUUCAGUGGCCAAGCGAAAGCGAUAAGCCAUCCACCUGGGGAGUACGACCGCAAGGUUGAAACUCAAAUGAAUUGGCGGGG
rnacentral:rRNA from 1 species